rnacentral:rRNA from 1 species
AACGAACGCUGGCGGCAUGCCUAACACAUGCAAGUCGAACGAGACCUUCGGGUCUAGUGGCGCACGGGUGCGUAACGCGUGGGAACCUGCCCUUAGGUUCGGAAUAACUCCCCGAAAGGGGUGCUAAUACCGGAUAAUGUCUUCGGACCAAAGAUUUAUCGCCUUUGGAUGGGCCCGCGUUGGAUUAGCUAGUUGGUAGGGUAAAAGUCUACCAAGGCGACGAUCCAUAGCUGGUCUGAGAGGAUGAUCAGCCACACUGGGACUGAGACACGGCCCAGACUCCUACGGGAGGCAGCAGUGGGGAAUAUUGGACAAUGGGCGAAAGCCUGAUCCAGCAAUGCCGCGUGAGUGAUGAAGGCCUUAGGGUUGUAAAGCUCUUUUAACCGGGAUGAUAAUGACAGUACCGGGAGAAUAAGCUCCGGCUAACUCCGUG